AGCAAUGGAGGAAAAGAAACCAACAGGGAUUGCCUCAGUAGCGGCGAGUGAAGCGGCAAGAGCUCAGAUUUGAAAUCGUGCUUUGCGGCACGAGUUGUAGAUUGCAGGUUGGAGUCUGUGUGGAAGGCGGUGUCCAAGUCCCUUGGAACAGGGCGCCCAGGAGGGUGAGAGCCCCGUGGGAUGCCGGCGGAAGCAGUGAGGCCCUUCUGACGAGUCGAGUUGUUUGGGAAUGCAGCUCCAAGCGGGUGGUAAAUUCCAUCUAAGGCUAAAUACUGGCGAGAGACCGAUAGCGAACAAGUACUGUGAAGGAAAGAUGAAAAGCACUUUGAAAAGAGAGUGAAACAGCACGUGAAAUUGUUGAAAGGGAAGGGUAUUGCGCCCGACAUGGGGAUUGCGCACCGCUGCCUCUCGUGGGCGGCGCUCUGGGCUUUCCCUGGGCCAGCAUCGGUUCUUGCUGCAGGAGAAGGGGUUCUGGAACGUGGCUCUUCGGAGUGUUAUAGCCAGGGCCAGAUGCUGCGUGCGGGGACCGAGGACUGCGGCCGUGUAGGUCACGGAUGCUGCUGAAUGAUCGAAAGCGUU
rnacentral:rRNA from 1 species